CACUAACACAUAAUAGGCACUAAUCUAAAUUCAAGGUCGUGUAGCCCCAAGUGUAUUCGAGCCUUUACGGUUGAGCUGUGCCAAGCUCGGCUGUAGUGGGGGACCGGCCCAUGACAGUCGAGUUGGGACAGUAUGCCAUAUGUUGACACUUUUACAUAAUAGCAAAUAUAUAGUAACAGAACGUAUCUAAGUCAGUUGCAAUUAAAUUAGAAGAAAAAUGUGUACAGUAUGAUAACCAAAUAAAUAUAUAUUCAAUUUACCGUAAAUAUAUGGAGUCUUUUCUACUCUUCUAAUCUACUAAAAAUUAAACGAGAGCAAUUUAUCAAUAGGUUCAUCAUCGAUGUCUCAAGAAGAGACGAAGUUAACACGAUUAACUGGGAUUUGAACUAGCUCGAGCUACAUCCUUUAAUUCAAGCAUCCCUCCAUCUUUAAAUUUUGAUAGCAAUCGAGCAGCCUCUUCUUUAGUCAUCAAUAUCUUCACUUUAGUCCCAUAUAAUUUCUCCUUCUCGACAUGUCCACAACUAGUCGAGUUGUUUCUACUCUCGUGAUUCUUCCCACUUUCUUCCCUUUCAACCAAUGGCUUUGGUUCAAUUUCGAAGUGUACCUUUUUUCUCACCUUAAGAGUCGAGGGCUUCUUGUUCAAUUCAUCUCUAUAAAUAUAGUGUGGCACUUCUGGUUUUUUAAGAAAUUGAAUUUCCGACAUUAUUUUAUGAGGUGAAGGAGUGAAGAAAGAGAGAAUACUCAAUGGAGGAUGUGUAGAAAUAUGCACUAUGAGUCUAUUUAUAUAAUUUCGUGGUGGGACUAUG
rnacentral:lncRNA from 1 species